UACAGAGGUCUCAAGCGUUGUUCGGAUUUAUUGGGUUUAAAGGGUGCGUAGGCGGCCUAUUAAGUCAGUGGUGAAAGCCCGGAGCUCAACUCCGGAACUGCCAUUGAUACUGAUGGGCUUGAGUACAGUUGAGGUUGGCGGAAUGUGUCAUGUAGCGGUGAAAUGCUUAGAUAUGACACAGAACACCGAUUGCGAAGGCAGCUGGCUAAGCUGUUACUGACGCUGAGGCACUAAAGCGUGGGGAUCAAACAGG
rnacentral:rRNA from 1 species